rnacentral:lncRNA from 1 species
UGUUCAAGCCGCAAAUUGGAAAUUCUUUAAGGGUCGUUUUCAUCAUCUCCGGCUACGGCGCAACUGUCAAUUAAGUUGUUAUUAACUCAGCGUCAACAUUGAGCGGCGAUUGGCUCUUAAUCAGAAGAUAACUUUACAGAAUAUAUGCGGCCUAUGUGACUGCGAUGAUUCAGAGGCGUGGGACACAAAUAUAUUUCUUUGAGAUAUAUGAUGAAAAGUUUAAAUUAGUAGAUUUCCAAAGUUAGUGCAAAAUACGUUUUGGAAAACAUACAAAAUAAAAUUAGAAGCCCCACCGAAAUGUUUGUGAAAAUAAUGUGCUUGGAGUAAAGAAGUGAACCAGCUAGAAUUUUCGGGUGACUGGAAGUCGGGUGAAAAAUAAUGUAGAAGAUUGCUAUCGGGCAUUUGCCAAAUCCUACAUCAGAAUAUCACAAACGAGCAGGAUAAUUGAAAAUUCAAAUCGCAGAUUUCUCAGAAUAUCGAAAUUUCCAAAGAUAAUGUGGUAUAUACAUUGCGCUUAUUUGGAGGAAAAAAAUGUCAAGAUUUUUCGAUACAAAAAUGAGUAUUUUUCCUUCAACGUACAAGCUGUCCUUAGGCAAAUUUGGAAAAAACGGACCUUGAAUCGUCAUGGCAGAAACAUUUUAUGUAAUAGUGGCCUGAAGGACCGUUUUUAGUAAGACGUAUUUAGGGAUUGUUUUCUUCUAGGCGACAGUGGUCACUAUGACCCUCAAAUACGAGCUCGAAGGGUCUCAUAAGUUCAUUUAUAAUUAUCGUUGUUCUCUUUCACGCUUAAAACAUAAAUAUUACAUACAAUCUAUGCAAUUAACUUAAAACCAUCAACGUCUUAUUGCCCAAUAAAAACAUAUGAUUUAUAUUUAAUUAAAUUACAUUUUUUUAU